rnacentral:lncRNA from 1 species
UGUCUCCGUGGGCCGAAGAUAAAAGCGGCGGCGGCUGCCGUGGGAACCGUGCUGUCUGGGCUCAGCUACCCCUCGCUGGUGGCGGGGGGCGCCGUGCGGAGCAGCUCCGCGGGCAGCUCCGGGUCGCUUAAGCGGCCGGGGACGUGCCCGUCCUCUUCCCUCGCAGGGCCGCGGAGACCGGAAGGCGGCAUCCGCAGCUGGCAAGGCCCGAGGGUCCGCAGCCCACCGAGCCGAGCACAGGCCAUCAAAGCCGAAUCCGAACUUGAAUUCUGUGCGGCUGAUUGCAGAGCUGGUCUCGGAUCGGCGACCCCCCCCCCACCCGCCCCGGUGGACAGAGAUCGGCUGUUAGCCUGGAGACGAGCUUUCUCGCGGAGGCCACCGGUUGCAGAAGCUGGAAGUGAAAUAAAGGCGCGCGCGCGCCCGUUCCUGCGCUCCUCCCCUACUGAGAUAGGAGAGUCCCCCAGCACGCCUGCACAUUAGGCUAACCCACAAAGCCUGAGCGUCUUGUUCCAUUCGGA